GCCCGCAUAGCUCAGUGGUAGAGCGCGUCACUAGUAACCCCUUGAUUUCAAGAUUCGACAUGACGAGGUCUUCAGUUCGACUCUGGAUGUGGGCA